UACAGAGGCCUCAAGCGUUAUCCGGAAUCACUGGGCGUAAAGGGUGUGUAGGUGGUUUUGUUAGUCUCUCGUUAAAGCCCGCGGCCCAACCGCGGAAAUGCGGGAGAAACGGCAAGACUAGAGGAUGCGAGGGGUGAAUGGAACUCAUGGAGUAGGGGUGAAAUCCGUUGAUAUCAUGGGGAACACCAAAAGCGAAGGCAAUUCACUGGCGCACUCCUGACACUGAGACACGAAAGCGUAGGUAGCGAAUGGG
rnacentral:rRNA from 1 species